rnacentral:rRNA from 1 species
GAUGAACGCUAGCGACAGGCCUAACACAUGCAAGUCGAGGGACGGGCGCACGGGGGAGUGACACGUAUCCAACCUGCCCUUUACCCGGGGAUAGCCUUUCGAAUGGAAGAUUAAUACUCAAAAUAUAGGAUGGGGAUGCGUUGCUUUAGGUUGUUGGUGAGGGAACGGCCAACCAAGCAUUCGAUGGAUAGGGGUAGUGGGAGGAAGGCCCACCAGAUUGGAACUGAGACCCGGUCCAAACUCGGGCGGGAGGCAGCGGUGAUGAUUAUUGGUCAAUGAGCGUUAGACUGAACCAGCCAAGUAGCGUGAAGGAUGUUGGCGUUCGUAUCGUAAACUUGUUUGAUAUAAGAAUAUGUAUUAUAUGAAUAAGGAUCGGCUAACUUCGUGCCAGCAGCCGCGGUAAUUC